UACGGGGGGUGCGAGCGUUGUCCGGAAUCACUGGGCGUAAAGGGCGCGUAGGCGGCCUGAUAAGUAGGGGGUGAAAUCCUGCGGCUUAACCGCAGGGCUGCCUUCUAAACUGUCAGGCUCGAGCACAGUAGAGGCAGGUGGAAUUCCCGGUGUAGCGGUGGAAUGCGUAGAUAUCUGGAGGAACACCGGUGGCGAAGGCGGCAUCCUGGACCGAGAUUGACGCUGAGGCGCGAAAGCCAGGGGAGCAAACGGG
rnacentral:rRNA from 1 species